AGUGAACGCUGGCGGCAGGCCUAACACAUGCAAGUCGAACGAACUCUUCGGAGUUAGUGGCGGACGGGUGAGUAACACGUGGGAACGUGCCUUUUGGUUCGGAAUAACUCAGGGAAACUUGUGCUAAUACCGAAUGUGCCCUUCGGGGGAAAGAUUUAUCGCCAUUAGAGCGGCCCGCGUCUGAUUAGCUAGUUGGUGAGGUAACGGCUCACCAAGGCGACGAUCAGUAGCUGGUCUGAGAGGAUGACCAGCCACACUGGGACUGAGACACGGCCCAGACUCCUACGGGAGGCAGCAGUGGGGAAUCUUGCGCAAUGGGCGAAAGCCUGACGCAGCCAUGCCGCGUGAAUGAUGAAGGUCUUAGGAUUGUAAAAUUCUUUCACCGGGGACGAUAAUGACGGUACCCGGAGAAGAAGCCCCGGCUAACUUCGU
rnacentral:rRNA from 1 species